rnacentral:rRNA from 1 species
CCUACGGGAGGCAGCAGUGAGGAAUAUUGGUCAAUGGGCGCGAGCCUGAACCAGCCAAGUCGCGUGAGGGAAGACGGUCCUAUGGAUUGUAAACCUCUUUUGUCGGGGAGCAAAAGACGCCACGCGUGUCGUUCCGAGAGUACCCGAAGAAAAAGCAUCGGCUUACUCCGUGCCCGCAGCCGCGGUAAUACGGAGGAUGCGAGCGUUAUCCGGAUUUAUUGGGGUUAAAGGGUGCGCAGGGGGAAGAAAAAGUCAGCGGUAAAAUUGGGGGGCUCAACCUCUUCGAGCCGUUGAAACUGGUGUUCUUGAGUGAGUGAGAAGUAUGCGGAAUGCGUGGUGUAGCGGUGAAAUGCAUAGAUAUCACGCAGAACUCCGAUUGCGAAGGCAGCAUACCGGCGCUCAACUGACGCUCAUGCACGAAAGUGUGGGUAUCGAACAGGAUUAGAUACCCGUGUAGUC